ensembl:lincRNA
CUAUCAUCUGUUGCCAGUCUGCAAUAUUUACCAUAGAAAUAUAAAUGUCAAGUAAAUUGAUAAAAUUUAUUUAUUGAAAUAAUUUUAUCUAUUAUCUUAAAGAAGAGAAAUCCUAUAUUUCUGCUUGACCCUCUUGUGCUUCUGCCAUCAGAUGAGAAGCACACGCAUUACGUAAUCCGUAGAAUCAAGGUGUGUGGAUGAGAGACAUGUGGUGCUAACCAGACCCAGCCUACAGCUUAUAAUGAAGUCUAUCUCUGCUCAGUCUAGAACAGCCACACCUCAGCCAACCUUAAGAC